CCAGAACCAACUACUACUACACCAGAGCCAACCACCACUACACCACAGCCAACUACCACAACACCAGAGCCUACGACCACGACUCCACCUCCAACCACCACUAUGGCUGAAAGCAGCUUGAAUUCAGUGGCACAUCUGCAAAUGAAGAUACAGUCCUUUGGAGAAGUCAGUAAUGGCACAAUCAUUAAUCUUGUUAAACAGUUUUUUAAUGAACAGCUGAAUGGAACUCCCCACACAGUGAAUGUGAAAAUCAUUCAGAGGAUUAGAGUUAGCCCAUAGAAGCUUUGUGUGGACAUAAAAUCAAACAAAAAUUAAUGUAUAAAAAUAGUAAAUCAGAGCUUUGCUGGUGGUAUUGUUUUAACCCAAUAUGAAGGAGCAGUUUACCUCAACUCUUUCACCAUUUCUCAAAAGAGUCCAUUUUCACAGUAAGUGCAACACAUCAAAUGCCAUAGUACUCCACUUUAUUGUGGUAAUCUACAACCAGAAUCUUACAAUCAGAAGAAGUACCUGGAGUGCUUCAAGGUGCAAGAAAAGAGGCUAGAUUUUGGAUUAUGUCCCAUCUUCUACUUCUCUUUAUCAUCAUUUAAAAAAAAACCAAAACAAAACACUGAACUGGUGAACAAAGAACUAUUUUCACUCUAUAAUCCUACAACAAUAUUCACCAAGAAUGUGAAUGGUGGAGAUGGGCAUUUGGUUCAAGUGUCAAAUUAUUUGCACAAUACAAUGGUAAGCUCACACCACACAAUCUGAUUUUUCAAAGAGGUUUUUCGAGUUGUCAAAAAUUCCCAUUCUCUGUAACUGGAGGAGCAGCUAUCAUGCUGAGAAGCCUGGUUACAAGGAAACACUCCCUUCCUUUCAUCAUAAAUGAAUGAGGAAACGUUUCACACAAAACACUGGCAAUGAUAACCUUGGCAAGUGCCAGGUGUAUGAUGAUGGUUCCCCGAAUCUGGGGAAUUAAAAGCCUGUGAAGUAUUACUGACAAUAUGCAGUCACUUGAAUGUAAAAUCAAGCAUGGAUUUAUUUAGCGCACCUUUCCGAUUCUUUGGAAAACCUGAGUACUUCUUGGUGGUGGCACGGGGGUUGCUGUGCUUUAAAAAAACACCUUAAAAUAUUGUAGUACAGGGAGGGAAAACAUUCUGUGUGCAAAUUAAUUCUUUAAAAAUGAGCUUGAGGCACACAUUAAUGAUUAAGUAUGCAUGCUUGAAGAUUAGUUUGGUGUGGUUUUGGCUCCUUGCCCUCUGUUUUAGCCUCUUGUCCAUUUGGUAAACUGGUAUUGAGUUCACUAGGUUUUGAAUAUAUAGAAAUGUCUAAAAGCAUGACUUUAUUUAAGCAGGAUAAACCAUGUGUUGUCCUACACCUAAGCCAGUAUUAGUCAUUUUUUAUUGUUGUAAAGCUAUACAUCAA